UUAACUCAAAUUUGUAUGGAGUUUGAAUGUUUGCCUACGUUUGCCGCUAGGGGCGCUGUUCCAACUCCAUACAAAUCUGAGUUA
rnacentral:pre_miRNA from 1 species